GGGCGUGUUGCCCAUGACACCCGGCGGGGUGAUCAUGAGGCCCUCCAUCGCGACGCGCUUGAUCGCCUCGCGGUCGAUGGCGAGGUUGAAGGCUUCGCGCACCUU
rnacentral:tRNA from 1 species